rnacentral:rRNA from 1 species
UACGAAGGGUGCAAGCGUUACUCGGAAUUACUGGGCGUAAAGCGUGCGUAGGUGGUUUGUUAAGUCUGAUGUGAAAGCCCUGGGCUCAACCUGGGAACUGCAUUGGAAACUGGCUUACUAGAGUGCGGUAGAGGGGUGUGGAAUUCCCGGUAUAGCAGUGAAAUGCGUAGACAUCGGGAGGAACAUCUGUGGCGAAGGCGACACCCUGGACCAGCACUGACACUGAGGCACGAAAGCGUGGGGAGCAAACAGG